UCUUCUCCAACUGUUCUCCCAAACUUUCUCUUUCGAUUUGGUUACAAAAUAGACUAAUGGCGUCCAGUUCAUGAAGGUGCUGUGAGUGACAGGGAGAGAGUGGAGGUAAAGAGUGAGAGAAAACAUCACCCUAAGUGUUGAAACACCGGGGAAUGUGAGGAUAGUGAUGUU